CAGCCGCCACGGGAAUACAGAGGGUGCAAGCGUUAAUCGGAUUUACUGGGCGUAAAGGGCGCGUAGGUGGUUAUGUAAGUGAGAUGUGAAAUCCCCGGGCUCAACCUGGGAACUGCAUCUUAUACUGCGUAGCUGGAGUGCAGUAGAGGGUAGUGGAAUUUCCGGUGUAGCGGUGAAAUGCGUAGAUAUCGGAAGGAACACCAGUGGCGAAGGCGGCUACCUGGACUGACACUGACACUGAGGCGCGAAAGCGUGGGGAGCAAACAGGAUUAGAUACCCCCGUAGUCCCUGUCUCUUAUAC
rnacentral:rRNA from 1 species